rnacentral:misc_RNA from 1 species
GGAUAACAUGUCCUAUCUGGAUAUGUGAAAGCAUUCAGAAAAGUGUUCAAGCUUCCCUUCAACAGUUCAACAAAUGGUUCUUUCAGGGGAUACUUUCUUGAACCGCACAGUACACUAUGUUCUAAUAUGUGAGGAAUUCCAGUAGAAUCUUUCGGAGGUGUCCGGAAGACAACACCGAAAACUUUAUUCUCAUCGUCAUUGGAAACCGACAUUACUUCAGCGCCUGUUUUCUUGUGUUUAUACAAUACAGCUUUAGAUUUACACUCAUCAAUAAACUGCUCAGACACUUUCUCGAACCCGAAUUUCUCCGCAACUUCAUCAUCAGCACCAAGAAACUCUUGAGAUGAUUGAGGGGAAGAAGUAGCGAUAGCUCGAACAGAUAAAGGGUAAAACUGUCUUUUCAAGUUGAUUGAAGAUGAUAUUCCGCGAACGUUACUCCGAACAAGUGAACGCCGGCGUUGAAGAUUCUGGAGUAAACGGUGUCGUCUAGCUGAGUAAGAACCGAAUCUGUGUGAAGAGCGUGAGAAGAUUCUAGAGAAAGCGAGAGUGGAAGUAGAAGAUAGAGAGCGAAGAAGCACC